rnacentral:SRP_RNA from 1 species
GCCGGGUGUGGUGGCGUGCACCUGUAGUCCCAGCUACUUGGGAGCCUGAGACAGGAGAAUUGCUUGAACCUGGGAGGCGAAGGUUGCAGUGAGCUGAGGUCGUGCCACUGCAAUCCAACCUGGGUGAUAGAGCAAGACUCUGUCUCAA